CAGUUCGAACGGGUAACUUUUGGUGCUUGGCACCGAAAGACGAGUGGCGCACGGGUGCGUAGACGCGUUAUGCAAUCGUACCUAUGUCUACUAGGAUAUAGCCCGUGAGAAAUUUGUGAUUAAUCCACCGUGAGUAAUAUCAUAGAAUUCCGCAUGAUCUUAAUUGAUUAAAGCAUAUCGUGCGGUUAGAAUGAUGGAGUCAUUGCGUCCUGAUUAGCUUAGUAGCGUAGAGGUAAGCGAGCGUCAACCUAGAACUACGAUAGGUAGGGGUCCGUGAGAGGCGAGAUCCGCCCAACAGCUUGGUACUGAGACACUGGACCAGACUCAUACGGGAGGCAGCAGUGAGGAAUAUUGGACAAUGGACGAAAGUCUGAUCCAGCUAUGCCGCGUGCAGUGAUGACGGCCCUAUGGGUUGUAAACUGCUUUAUAUACAGGAAGAAAAAAUCCGACGUGUCGGAUCUUGACGGUACUGUACCGAAUACGGAUCGGCUAACUCCGUGCCAGACAGCCGCGGUAAUACGGAGAGAUCCAAGCGUUAUCCGGAAUCAUUGGGUUUCAAAGGGUCCGCAGGACG
rnacentral:rRNA from 1 species